rnacentral:rRNA from 1 species
UACGUAGGUGGCGAACGUUGUCCGGAUUUACUGGGCGUAAAGAGCGCGCAGGCGGUCGUCCAAGUCGCGUGUGAAAGCCCCCGGCUCAACUGGGGAGGGUCACGCGAUACUGAUCGACUCGAAGGCAGGAGAGGGUAGUGGAAUUCCCGGUGUAGUGGUGAAAUGCGUAGAUAUCGGGAGGAACACCAGUGGCGAAGGCGACUACCUGGCCUGUUCUUGACGCUGAGGCGCGAAAGCUAGGGGAGCAAACGGG